UGCAGUCGAACGAGAACGGGCCUUCGGGCUGUCAGCUAAGUGGCGCACGGGUGAGUAAUGCAUAGAUAACGUGCCUCUAAGAGAGGUAUAACAGUUGGAAACGACUGCUAAUACCUCAUAUGCCCUUAAAACAGAAGUUUGCAGGGGAAAUGAAUUUCGCUUAGAGAUCGGUUUAUGUCCUAUCAGCUAGUUGGUGAGGUAAAAGCUCACCAAGGCAAUGACGGGUAGCUGGUUUGAGAGGAUGAUCAGCCACACUGGUACUGAGACACGGACCAGACUCCUACGGGAGGCAGCAGUGGGGAAUAUUGCACAAUGGAGGAAACUCUGAUGCAGCAACGCCGCGUGGGGGAUGACACUUUUCGGAGCGUAAACUCCUUUUAUAUGAGAAGAUAAUGACGGUAUCAUAUGAAUAAGCAUCGGCUAACUCCGUGCCAGCAGCCGCGGUAAUACGGAGGAUGCAAGCGUUACUCGGAAUCACUGGGCGUAAAGAGCAUGUAGGCUGGUUGGUCAGUCAGGUGUGAAAUCCUGCAGCUUAACUGUAGAACUGCACUUGAAACUGCCAACCUAGAGUAUGGAAGGGGCAGAUGGAAUUAGUGGUGUAGGGG
rnacentral:rRNA from 1 species